rnacentral:rRNA from 1 species
AUUGAACGCUGGCGGCAGGCCUAACACAUGCAAGUCGAACGGUAACAGGAAACAGCUUGCUGUUUCGCUGACGAGUGGCGGACGGGUGAGUAAUGUAUGGGAAACUGCCUGAUGGAGGGGGAUAACUACUGGAAACGGUAGCUAAUACCGCAUACCGUCGCAGGACCAAAGAGGGGGACCUCCGGGCCUCUUGCCAUCGGAUGUGCCCAGGUGGGAUUAGCUAGUAGGUGGGGUAACGGCUCACCAAGGCGACGAUCCCUAGCUGGUCUGAGAGGAUGACCAGCCACACUGGAACUGAGACACGGUCCAGACUCCUACGGGAGGCAGCAGUGGGGAAUAUUGGACAAUGGGCGCAAGCCUGAUGCAGCCAUGCCGCGUGUAUGAAGAAGGCCUUCGGGUUGUAAAGUCCUUUUAUCGGGGAGGAAGGCAGUAAGGUUAAUACCUUGGGUCAUUGACGUUACCCGCAGAAGAAGCACCGGCUAACUUCGUG